UCGACCACCACGUGGGCUCGGAGAUGUGUAUAAGAGACAGGCAUAAGAGAGACUAACGCAUGUUAGUAAUUUAAAAGGGGCAAUUGCUCCACUAUGAGAUGGACCUGCGUUGUAUUAGCUAGUUGGUGAGGUAAAGGCUCACCAAGGCGACGAUACAUAGCCGACCUGAGAGGGUGAUCAGCCACACUGGGACUGCGCAACGGCCCAGACU
rnacentral:rRNA from 1 species